rnacentral:rRNA from 1 species
GAUCAUGGCUCAGGAUGAACGCUAGCGACAGGCCUAACACAUGCAAGUCGAGGGUAGCGGAGAGGUAGUAAUACCUUUGCCGGCGACCGGCGCACGGGUGAGUAACACGUAUGCAAUCCACCUGUAACAGGGGGAUAACCCGGAGAAAUCCGGACUAAUACCCCAUAAUAUGGGCUCUCCGCAUGGAGGGUCCAUUAAAGAGAGCAAUUUUGGUUACAGACGAGCAUGCGCUCCAUUAG